UCUUUAAAUAUGUUUCACUCGCAGGAAUAGCGCGUGGUUUGUGUACACUCCCGACGAAUUGGAAAAUUGGCGCCUCUCGCAAAACCCUAAAACGAAAAUCUUCAUCGCCGGCCGAUGUGCCCGCUGCAAUACCCGGAUGAUCCAACUUUCCUGUUCACAAUUUUGCUCAGUCUCAUCAGGCUUGCCCAACGAUGAAGAAUGAAGAUGAAGCUCAAUCAACCGAAGAAGCAAAUGCUACUAAACCCAUAGAAUCCUCUUGAGUUUUACAGUUCCGAAAUAUCUGAGUAAGCUGAAAGUCCUGUGCAUUCCAAUUCCAAUCCUCCAUUGCAGAAGAAAACAAGGGUCCUGCCCUAUUUGACAGAGUGCCAUGCUUGUGGCUUCAGGAUUGGCUUUUUUACUUCAUAUACAGGGUUGUGGCUGGCAGCACUCUGUUCAUAACUUUUUUGAAUUACCAAAAUGAUGCUCCUUUCAAGACAAAAAGGGGGCAAAAAGAGAUGAUGCUCCGUGCUUUUUAUGCCUGCUUGGGCUCCGAAUUUUCUGUACGUGUGGAUUGCUAGAUUCCCGAGAUUGCAAUCCAGAAAUGUGAGUAGUAGUGGAGAACUCAGGAUAAGGUGUACGGUUUGAUUAGAAAAGGGAAUAUCUAAGGUAUUGGAUGGUGGAAAUUCCACGAAGUUAUUUGACCGUGGUUAAGGAUGCAAGUUGUGGUGGAGGUGAUUGAGGCAGCUUAUUUGGCUGGAGGGGAAGGCUGUGAAAUGUGAUGACUAAACAGUGCGUUGCCUUUGGGUUUAGUAGCAAACAGAGAUUAAUAUAUUUUGAAUGAUCAUCUCAAGACAUAAGCUAUGAGGGUUAUUGAUGAUCAAGGGCUCACAUUGAUUGGUAAAUGAAUACUAUAGUUCUCCAAGGAUUUCUGAGAACUGUUGCUCAUUGAAUGCGAGAUAUUUAGGUACUUGGAAGAUUGGAGCUUCCAAUAUUGAUUUGUAAUGAAAGAUCUGACUGCUAAAGAAUCAAGAAAGCAUACACACUACCAUAGACACAGGGUAUGUCAUUGACACGAACACAGUGAUGGAACCAAAUUUGAUAUGUUGAGUUCUAACUUAUAGUGUCAUAUAGUGAUAAUGCCAUGUUGUGUAUAACACGAGCGUCCGUAUAUUGAUCCUGGGCAGGGCACUGUUUUCUAUUGGCUGUACUUCAUAGCAAAGAGAUAAGGGGGUUUAAGAAGUGUGAACAUUUUAGAGUGAUUCUUUAGUGGACAUGAAUUGUCUCAGGACCUAUCUAAGCGUGAAUGGAAGGAAUUAUGUGAAGACUGAUUCAAAAGAUAUUUAGUGCAUAGCUGAAUAUGAUGCUGAAGAAGAGACUGGAGAAGAGCGUCUGAAGGUGGGGGGUAAGAGCUUGUUCUAACAUGUAAAAGAACUUGGUGAGCAUUGAUGUUAGUCACUAGCAAGCAGAUUCUGCAAUGUGUGGGAAAGAAUACACAACAGACAUAAAUUGGCUGCUUUUCCUAAAACAACGCUACGACAGGGAAAGAGGUUGCAUGAUAAACUUCAUUUCAGAUGGAACAAGGAGUACGGAAUCUGUUUGCUGUGAGAUGCUUUGUAUAAAGGGGCUUCCUAUCAAUCUCAAUGCAUCAUAUAUAACAAAAUGGUAGAAGCCAAAUCUGAAAGAUGGCUCAUGGUGGCUCCUCACUUAUUUCACUGUUCAUAAAGCCAUAUUUACUGUUUAUAGAGCCAUGGCUCAGAGAAAAUUUCAGGCUGCGUGCUACAUGUUUGACUCCAGGAAAAUUUUCCUCUUCUUUCUUCUUUUAAAUUUCUAAACUGCAUAUUUUUAAAAUUUCUUUUAAAAAAAUAACACUGGCUGAGGUCAGUGUCUACAUCUCACCUCUGCUUUCCCGUUUUUCCAGAGGACAGGAACAUUUUUCCUCUCUCCUUUUUUCUCUUCCUCCCACCCCCUCUGUUCUCUCCUGCAGCUCUGCAUUCAGCAUUCCCAGCUUCAUCUAUUAUGCUUUCACAUCUUUUACUCCAAUCAUUGCUUCCUCCUCCAUUUGUAUUCAGAUGCAAACACCAUUGCUUGUGCUGUUGGCCAGCUUCUGGUGACUCUAGAUCUACCAAGUGAUUUUGAUUUUUGGCUUCUUCGAUUUUAUGAGAAUGUGUUUGUAGGAACAGCGUCAUUGAGUGAAGACAAGCAGGUCACAGUGGAGAGAUACGCAUAAGUUUGUAGAGGCAUUGUCAAGGAUUUACAAGGCAAACAGAAAUUGGGGGACUUGAGGGAGCUCGAUGUGGAGGAGAAGAAGCUGCUGUUGGAAAGAUUGAUGAAGUGGCCGUAUCUUACCUGAUUGAAAGAAAAAUUGUGUAGUUAUAAGCGCUAGAAAUUAGCGCUUUGCCUUCAGAAGACAACAUGCGAUAUUUCAAUGUGAUGAUCCUUUCCUCAGCACAGUCACGUUAUAAAGGCAAGAGAAGGUUGCAAUCAUCAAUGGAAGAAACAACAAAAACAUUGCGUAAGAAGAGGAUGUUUAUCUGCUACUGCUGAUGGUUUUUUCGGUUGGCAAGUAUGAGCUUCCAAAAAAUUGUUGACUUUAUGAAGUAGCAGCAGAAAUUGUUCUUAACUGCUCAGAGGUGUACAUAUUGGAAUGCCUAGCUGCGGGGCUUCCCGGGAGGCAAGAGUGUAAGGCCAAUAGCUUGGAGUGUCCUGUGUGACUGUGUCUGUUGUUUUAGGUCAUUAUGUUUGUCUUAAAUUAUGGAACUACCUUUAGGUAGGAAUUUUUUUGUAUUUUAUGUGGCUAUGUAGUGCAAGAGCAUGGGUUGUCCCCAAUGGAUGUAGAACUUUGGCACUCCAACCUUUUGAACAGUAUGUAUUAGGUGCACGAGCACCAGUGAAAAUAUUAAUAUAAGUUAACUUUAGUUA